rnacentral:rRNA from 1 species
UACGUAGGGUGCAAGCGUUGUCCGGAAUUAUUGGGCGUAAAGAGCUCGUAGGCGGUUUGUCGCGUCUGCUGUGAAAACGCGAGGCUCAACCUCGCGCCUGCAGUGGGUACGGGCAGACUAGAGUGCGGUAGGGGAGAUUGGAAUUCCUGGUGUAGCGGUGAAAUGCGCAGAUAUCAGGAGGAACACCAGUGGCGAAGGCGGUGCUCUGGGCCGGAACUGACGCUGAGGAGCGAAAGCGUGGGGAGCAAACAGG